rnacentral:lncRNA from 1 species
GGAGAGCCUCCAGAUAUGUCUAUCAGGAAUGCCUUCCUGCAGCACCACAACUGCCAGAGUAUCCCACAGCUCCAGGUAUUCUAGCAAAGCUUCCAGGGAUAUUUCGCCUUGGAUAUCUUCCAGCCAUUUUCCAUUAUUCAGAGCAUCCAUAACUAUGCAUCUGUUCGCUCUUCGCUUAGACACAAGGGCAAAAACUCGGGGUGCUAAAUCUUUAAUGCUUCUGCCAUUCAGCCACUUAUCUUUCCAGAAUAAGGUAUUGGAUCCAUCUCCAAUUUCAGUAAUUAUGGUCAUAGACAGCAGGGCUUCCACUUCCUUGCUGACCUGAAGAGGUAGGUCUGCCCAAGACCGAUUAGGUUCAGAUUUCUUGAGCCACGGCGAUCUUGCUCUUAGGGCACAUCCCAAGAUUUCAAAUCUGAAAUGUCGAGUCCCCCAGUUCCUUGGAACGACAAACUUUGGGCCGAGCAAUGAGGCAGUGUCCUCCAUUUGCUUCCUUGUGUCCCUUCCACACAAAGGCUCUCCUAAUUCUAUCAAUGUCCUUUAUUGCCCAAGGUGGCACAUCAAUCGCCAUGGCCAGAUAUAUCAGCAUUGCUGUCAAGACAUAUUGUACCUGGACAGCCCUUCCAGCCUGUGUCAUUAGGUCAGCCUUCCAUCCUGGUAGUUGGUCAGCAAUUCUGUCAAUAAUUGGCUGGAAUUGUUCCUUUGUCAGUUUUUUAAGGGACAAUGGCAGCCCUAGGCAUUUGCAUAUGAAGUCUUGGAUUUCACAAGGCAGCAUACUCUCUAUGAGUGCCAUAUUCUCCUCAGAGCAUUGAAUUGGCACCACACUGCUCUUGUGCACAUUAGUCCUUAGACCGGAUGCUUCCCCAAAAAGCUGAAGGAUUCUCAAGGUUAAACUAAUAUCUUCUGCAGUUGGCCUGAGAAACAGAGAUACAUCAUCAGCAUACAAAGAGAUUCUAUGUUGGAUUGGCCUUCUAGACUAUGGUUGUAGCAAUCCCGCUUCAGAUGCCCUUGAGACCAACCAGUUCAGCACAUCCAUGACCAAAAUAAAGAGCAUAGGAGAAAGUGGAUCCCCCUGACGAAGCCC